UUCAGAGUGUGCUCUUCCGAUCUGACCUGUUCGUGAGUUUGAGUCGGAUCAAAACAAAUCAUUUUAAGCAGUUUGGAAUGCGUCCUCCCUGUUGGUGGGUGAAUGGUAGUGCUUAAGGGAAAUGGGGAUUGUGUUGAAGGGAGAGAAAAGUGUGUUUGGGAAAGGGUAAAAAUUAGGUUAAGCUGAAGUUAAAUCUUCCCAGGUGGUGUCGGGAUUUUUCUCAAUGCACCUCUUUUAAGAAACCAGCUUAUGUUAUGUUUUUCGUUCAGUGUAUCACAAAUUGUAUAUCUUCAGACCUACCAAGCUCUUAUGGAAGGGCUGAUAGAUGAAUGAGCAGGUGAACCUGAGGUCUCUGAUGGAAGAAUGUUAGUGCUAUGUGCAUGUGUGUUAAAGGCAUAUUACAUUGUUAUGUAUUUUAGCAUUGAUGUCCAAGUUAACUACAGCACAUAUUCAUCUUGUUAGUUAUAGAAAACAGUAUUCUAGUUUAUUCAAGAACACUUACAGUCAGUGAUAGACCAUUUAAUUUUAACCCUGAACUAAUGGGUGGGUUGUUUUCCAGCCUUGCUUUUCUGCAGGCUUCACCUCGAGUGCUGUGUGCUGACCACAUUUCUUAUGGACAUGAUUUCCAGUGAAAGAGGUGGAGGAACAACUAAACAUGUGAAAAAAGGGCAAAAGUAUACUACUGCUCUCUGUGAAGCUAAGACUUGUUGACUUUGGUUGCAUGACGGCGCAUCUGAAGUCAGAGUGUUGUUAGACUUUCCCAUUGUAGCUUGUAAAAAUCAAUAAGAAGAUGUUUUUAAAGUAAUUACCAAUACAGAAAACAGUGUGCAUUUAUGAAGCCAUACUGACAUCACUACUGUAAGACAUAAGUUAGGUGCCCGGACUGAGAUUUUUUUCUAAUUUCACAUGAAAUAUAUUAGGCUCCCUGUUAAAUAAGUGAAAUAGGAUAUCAGUGUAAUUGUGUGUCACCACUGACUGCUCAUGUGAUAAACAAAACAGUGACCCUUUUGUAGAUAAAAAAGACUACUUUUGGAUUUAUUUAUUUUUUUAUCUGUAUUUAUGAGCCAUUUGUGGGGUGUUUUUGUUUUGUUUCUUAGACAAACAUUGGUUUGUCAAAGUGCUAUUUUACAACACCCCCCCCCCCAUGUAUUAGUGUUGGCAAAAUGAAAAUUAAUCUACUUCCUGUUUUGGCUAAUGUUCAUUAACAUUACCCACCCAGUUUUAUGAGAAAACACAAGAUUAUCUGCCUCUGCUUUGUGCAGAGCCUCUUCAAGAGCUAGGUUUUUGCUUUUAUUUGAAUGGUUAAAUCACAGUCUGCCAAGGACUGCUUCUGUUGGGCUUGUAACUUUUAUGGGAGGCUCCGACACUGUUUUACUCAUGCAUGGCAUUAAAACUGAACAUGCAAGCAGGCAGAUCCAGAUUUCAAGUAAAGGAGAUCACAAGAACCUGACUAUCUGGUAUAUAUGUGAGAGCUAACACACACACACACACACACACACACACACACACACACACACACACACACACACACACACACACACUUGUGUAUCAUUUACUCUUGGAUGUGACACAGAUGUCAGUGUACUAUUAACUAGGACCCCUCUAUGGCUUUAUCUGUUGAGCCAAAGUAAGCCUGAUCUCCAGAGAGAGCAGGCAUUGUUAAACCCUCUCCAUAUCCCCAGAUGACUGCAGUAAAGUGGUGUGUGUAUGUGAGUUUUCCCCAAGCUCCUGUCUUCACAGUCCAGAUCUAAUUUGCUCUGACAGGAUGGUAAUAAGGUAGCAAUAGACACAUGCUGUGUGUGUGUAUCUGUAUUUCAGCCGUGAACCAUACCCACGCUGGCCUGUAACAGCCCACUGCUAAAAAGCAGGUGUUUAGAACCUCAAACUUACCCUCUGCGUGCGUAAAUGAAGGCCAUGUUGCACACAGACUUAAAUACUCACAAUCACAUACAAACUCGAGGGCACAGCUGUUGCACUGGCUUUACCGAAGAAACACAUUAUGUAACCAACUUUAGUUUGUCUAGAUAGAAGUGAUAUUGUCUCAUUUUGUAUCUCAUUUGAAAACCUAUCAAUGCACUAAAGUAGAUAUACUUCCCAGCCAUAACACUCUCUCUCUCUCUCUCACUCUCUCACUCACACACACACACACACAGCUGAGACAUUGUUUCACUGUACAUAUGCUCUCAUCUACACUGCUAUCUAUUUAUACCCAGCUGUGUUCUUCCGGGCUGCCAUAGCUCUGAAAAUUUUCUUUUGUCAAGUGCGCAGGACUUGAAAUCAUGACCACAUAUUAAACUUGAUUAUAGUUGUUGUUGAAACAUUUCCAGGAAACAUUCCCUGAUUUAGGUAGGAUGUUUUUCCUGUGUUUGGGUUUAAUGUUGUUACUAACAUUGGCUAAAGCCAGCUCCUAUAUAAUCAACUAUCAAAGUAACACUGGAAAUUAAUGUGUUAUUGUCCAAACUCUGAAUAAUAACGGCUAGAAAUGUUAAAGCUGUUUUAUUUCCUUUGAAGAGCUCAUUGCCCUAUUAAUAAUUUCUUUGCCACAGGGCCUCACCGGUCCUUGAUCUUGAGAGGCCAUAAAGCCAGGAGAAAAGAUUGUGAGCAAAAGGAUGGCUUCCUGGCAAGUAUUCCUGUGGCUCAGCUGGGAAAAGUCUGGGGAAAAAAACCCCCAAAACAACAAAAAGGGGCAGCACCAGCAGUGAGUGUAGCUGCUCCAUGCCCAAAUGGUCAGCUUACACUCGCAGAACUAGACCAGUUUCAGGUUGUAGUCUCACCCAGUUAACUCUAAGACUACAGCCCUACUUUUCAUGUCUGGUAUGCACUGUGGAUAGCUCGUUUGUAGCAUGAUAAAGUGUUCAGUAU